AUAACAAGCAGGGCACAUGGGCAGCGACUACCCCCACUCACAGCCAAAGCAGCAAAUACCUGCAGACAGCAUCCUCCCCUGCCUGGACUCAGCCUGAAAACCACAUCCUAAGGGAGAGGAAGGAGGCUAAUUUGACAUUCCUGGCACCAUCCCCUCCUCUCAUGUCCUUCUCGAAGCUGGCCGCCAGGUCCCCAAGAACCCCGCAUGACUUGCUGGAGAGCUGCGAUUUGUUUUUGUCCUAUUAGCUCCUGCAAAGGACAGAAACAGAUUGCUGGGCUAGAGGGAUGGCCUGGGAAGAAUACGGAUGAGGAACUGGCUGCAUGAGGCGGGAGCAGGAAGGUUGCGAUGAACGGGUCCAGACAAAGGUCUCCUGGUGGAUUUCUACUCUGGGGCAAAAGGGCUAAAAAAGGAAACAG
rnacentral:lncRNA from 1 species